UCAAUGGAGAGUUUGAUCCUGGCUCAGGACGAACGCUGGCGGCGUGCCUAACACAUGCAAGUCGAACGAGAUCCAUCCGGUAGCAAUACUGGUGAAGAUCAAGUGGCGAACGGGUGAGUAGCACGUGAGCAACCUGCCCCGAUGACCGGGACAACACCGGGAAACCGGUGCUAAUACCGGAUAUCCCCACCGAGUCGCAUGGCUUGGUGAGGAAAUGGAUUCCGCUUCGGGAGGGGCUCGCGGCCUAUCAGCUUGUUGGUGAGGUAACGGCUCACCAAGGCUUCGACGGGUAGCUGGUCUGAGAGGACGAUCAGCCACACUGGGACUGAGACACGGCC
rnacentral:rRNA from 1 species